CACCAGUUAAUCAUUGCCGUCUCUUACAAGUCAGGCACCAGUUAAUCAUUGCCGUCUCUUACAAGAAAAAUAUUCAAAAUCAUAAAAAAAGAUAAACUAUUAGUCCUACUUAUGAUUUUUGUGUGAAAAACUCCUCUUGGGUAAUGUAUAUUAAACUAUGAUUUCAUUGGCCAAGUUUAAUACAAGAAAUUGUCCCCAUAAGGCUGAGUAGCUAGCAUGCAGCCUUGCAUUCUCCCUGGACGCGGCUUCACGCUGCCACCAGGGAUUUUCCUGUCACCAGCGAGGGGCCUAAGACUACCCACAUGCUGUCCUGAAGACCACCCAGCAACCCGGACUCUAGAGGAAACCGCCCAAGUCCUGGUGGCACCCGACCCGAGCUACUGGUACUGCCGGAACCCCCUGGUUGGCGGAUGAGAUCUUCCUGACGGAUGUGACGGCCAACUUCCUGACUGUGAGGAUCGGGGAGUGCAAGAAGCGGCCGGAGGUUUUCAAGGACACGACCGACCCAAACCAGAAAUCCCAGUGCUCGAUUAUGUGAUGUGUUGUGAUUGUGAAUAUGUCUUGACUUUGCUGGUGAAGGUUUCCAUGGCAAAUAGGAUCAUACUGAAAAGAUAUUAGCCGGGGGUCUUCAAGGACACGACCGACCCAAACCAGAAAUCCCAGUGCUCGAUUAUGUGAUGUGUUGUGAUUGUGAAUAUGUCUUGACUUUGCUGGUGAAGGUUUCCAUGGUGAACAGGAUCAUGCUGAAAAGAUAUUAGCCGGGGGUCUUCAAGGACACGACCGACCCAAACCAGAAAUCCCAGUACUCAAUUAUGUGGUUAUUGUGAAUAUGUCUUGACUUUGCUGGUGAAGGUUUCCAUGGUGAACAGGAUCAUACUGAAAAGAUAUUUGCACGGAAAGAUAUUGUUGUGCUGUGUUCGUGGGAGUCCCGUAAACAAACAUGUGGGUACAGCUAUUACUGGACGCAAAAUGUUAUUGUAAAGCCUGCUAGAUACAUUUGACAAGCAUAGAAAACCACCUAAAAAUUACAAGUUAAAACUCUGUCAUCACUUGCAGAAUUGGAAGUCCAAACAAUCUAAACUGAUACUUCAAAGGAAGCCCACAGCCUUAGGAUUACUUUAGGCAUUUGGGUUUGAGCCUUGGUGCAAAGCCAGAUUUUUAAGAAAUUUAUUUAUAAAAUUGUACGGGCCGUGAACACCUCGUGUGUGACCCCCUGCUGCUCACAAGCCGUACACCAAUUAACCGUGUAGCAGCGACGGGACAAAUUUGUGGCUUUACCGUGGAGCAGCGACGAGCCAAACUUGUGCCAUGAUUUAAACCCAAAAAAAUAGAUGAUACACAAGCUGAUCACAAAUGUUUUGAUAUAUACUAUGAAAUGGUUUGUGUGAGGGGUGAUUUUUUCUCAUUUUUCUCGCUUAGAGGGACCAUUAAGAAACAUGAUCCCCGCUGCUACCGGGUUAAAAAAAAAAACUUCCUAUGGAGAAAAAAUAUUCUCUGGGGAAGCUCAAGAGAUAGAGGAAGGCCAUUUCCUGAGGAGUAUUAUGCACUCUUUGUUAUGCCUGUUAGGGCGAACACAGAUUUUUAAUUAUUAUUUUCCCACCAGUAGUACUAUGGGUUGUCCACCUCACCCUACAAUGGAAACAAUAUAACAUUUGAAAAACCAUGCUAUUCCACCUUCUGUAUAAAAAGAGAUGUUAUAUGUUUUUCCUGUUUUAGUCAUGGAAUUUACUAUUAAGCAGAAUAUUGUUGUACACUUGGGCACUUAAACAGGAGGAGGCUUUUCAAACAGGCAAAUGUUGGUGCCCAGAUGUUUAAAAAAUGCUGCUUGGAAGUCUGAAGAGUGACUGGAAUCUGCGACUUCUUAGCUGAUGGGGGCUUCGUGGUGCAGUGGUUAGCACACUCAGCUCACAACCAAGAGAGCACGGGGUCGAUUCCCAGGCGGAGUGGAAAAAUUUGGGCGGCUUUUCUGAUACCCUACGCCCCUGUCCACCCAGCAGUGAAUGGGUACCAGGUAUUAAUCGGGGGUUGUGUCCCGUCUCCUGGGGUCUGUUCUCUUCUCCUAUAAUUCCUUCCCCUUCUGUCUCUCUCCGACACAUGACCACAGAUGUUGCGCCCACUAAACAAAACUUUCCAACUUUUUCUCUGGUGAUUCUCUGUACAGGCAGUGGUUCGGAAGGUGUACUAGACUGCCUCCAGCUGACUGUUUGAGGCUCUACCAUGUCUUCCGGUCAUGGUUUUAGGGUUUCCGCCGUCCAUAAGCUUAAGAAAUCUUGUGUACUGUAUUUCCAAGCUUCUGAAAAUGGACCCAAAAUAUCAUACUGAGUGCCUCUCUAAUGUUCAUCUCUAUGUAUAGGGAAGGGAGUUGUAUCAUAGCCUGUUAAGAAUAUUAAGGUGUCUAUUGUGUAUUUCCA